GCGAGAGUGGCGGAAUUGGUAGACGCACUGGAUUUAGGUUCCAGCACCGCAAGGUGUGCGAGUUCGAAUCUCGCCUUUCGCACCA
rnacentral:tRNA from 1 species